rnacentral:rRNA from 1 species
GUGGGGGAUAUUGCGCAAUGGGGGCAACCCUGACGCAGCAACGCCGCGUGAAGGAUGAAGGUUUUCGGAUUGUAAACUUCUUUUAUUAAGGACGAAAAAUGACGGUACUUAAUGAAUAAGCUCCGGCUAACUACGUGCCAGCAGCCGCGGUAAUACGUAGGGAGCAAGCGUUGUCCGGAUUUACUGGGUGUAAAGGGUGCGUAGGCGGCUUUGCAAGUCAGAUGUGAAAUCUAUGGGCUCAACCCAUAAACUGCAUUUGAAACUGUAGAGCUUGAGUGAAGUAGAGGCAGGCGGAAUUCCCCGUGUAGCGGUGAAAUGCGUAGAGAUGGGGAGGAACACCAGUGGCGAAGGCGGCCUGCUGGGCUUUAACUGACGCUGAGGCACGAAAGCGUGGGUAGCAAACAGG